ACCUGGUUAGCUCAGUUGGUAGAGCGCUCCACUUGUAAUGGAGAGGUCCCGGGUUCAGAACCCGGACCAGGCG
rnacentral:tRNA from 1 species